GCCGCACGAUGCUACCAAAAACUCCCGAUUUAUUGGCUUCGAGUCGGCCGAUUCGCGGAGUUUUUCGAAAUAUCAGGUUACACUUUGCGCUGGGAAACAUUUGGAAACGAUCUAAGAGGUUCGCUCGAGCCUUCUCGAAGGGGAGUCUCGGAGGAUACCGGCGACGUCGCCGAGGCGUCGCGACGUCUUCCCGUCGAUCCUUGGGUCGGUUCUCCCAUUCGCCUUCCUCGAGGGAGAAAAAAAGUCCCUGCCCCCUAUACGUCGAUACCCACGGGGAGAGGCGAAUCGGCGCGACCGAUUCCUGCGGAUGCCUGGGAGGGCCAUGGAGUCGGGACGAGCGGGAAAAGUAAUUUCGGGCACGCGUAGGUGCGCGCGCCCAGGAGAGGGUGAGACCGAGAAUUUAUCCCCGAGGUGGAAAGUCCUUGCGCUGAAUGAGCAAGGACGAGGACCUGGAAAAAUGAAACGCUGACUCGGAACCGAUCCGUCAGUCGACCCGAACGAUCCACCUUGAGACGGUUUACCAAUCUUUAAAAUGAAUUUUGUCAUCCGAAUACAGGGAAGCGCAUAUUUUGAUAUUUCUCGUUUUUCAGGUGCUAACGAAUUUUGUUUAACCGCUACAGUUUAUCGAGUUUUAAUGAGAGGCUGCAGCUAGUUCCUACUUUGGCGGAGAUUUUCGCUCGGUGAUAUUUCCCGGGUUAUAAUUUUAACCGAGCAACUCGUCGGACGCUCUCCUCGAGCGUUCCUGAAUCAGUUCCCAGCGAGGAGGACGUUUUGUCUCUAUUAAUCUCCAUAGAUCCGACGAAGACAGAGCGAACGCUGGGAACGCUGACGGUGGAUUCCGGAAUACGGGGACGACGUAGGCAAUACGUAUAUGGGAGUACUUCGACGCAGCACCGGCGAAAGCUCGAGGACUGCCGAGGACUUUGGAAGACCUUUUUCGGUCGCUGGGUUUCCGGCCGAGACGCGGAUGGACGUUUUCGCCAAAAAUACGGACCCCAUCAUUCGCCGCUUAUGUCCCGUACUCUUUCGCACCGAAGAUGACAACGGGUGUAGAGAAAGUUUAUACGAACGAUUCUGUUUAUAGAUGUCGCUUGUGAGUUCCAUUCUUUAUCAACGAGAUUUAUAAAAAAUCACGCUGCGCUGGUAAUGUUACCGCUACAUGCAAAGAGGUGGCUGAAACUCGUCCUCCAAGUCUCUGAAUAUGCGAAGUUUUUAUGAAUUAA